rnacentral:rRNA from 1 species
AUUGAACGCUGGAGGCGUGCUUAACACAUGCAAGUCGUGCGAGAAAGGGACUUCGGUCCUGAGUAGAGCGGCGCACGGGUGAGUAACGCGUGGGUAAUCUCCCUUGGUGAUCGGGAUAACAGCGGGAAACUGCUGCUAAUACCGGAUAAUCUUCAUGUUUAACUUCAUGGGGUAAAGGUGGCCUCUGCUUGCAAGCUACCACACCGAGAUGAGCCCGCGUCUCAUUAGCUAGUUGGUAGGGUAAUGGCCUACCAAGGCUACGAUGAGUAGCUGGUCUGAGAGGAUGACCAGCCACACUGGGACUGGAACACGGCCCAGACUCCUACGGGAGGCAGCAGUGGGGAAUAUUGCGCAAUGGGCGAAAGCCUGACGCAGCGACGCCUCGUGAGGGAUGAAGGUCUUCGGAUCGUAAACCUCUGUCAAGAGGGAAGAAACCCUUGGAUUCGAAUAGGGUCCUUGGCUGACGGUACCUCAAAAGGAAGCACCGGCUAACCG